AACGAACGCUGGCGGCAGGCUUAACACAUGCAAGUCGAACGCACUCUUCGGAGUGAGUGGCAGACGGGUGAGUAACACGUGGGAACCUACCCAAAGGUACGGAAUAACACAGGGAAACUUGUGCUAAUACCGUAUGUGCCCUUCGGGGGAAAGAUUUAUCGCCUUUGGAUGGGCCCGCGUCGGAUUAGCUAGUUGGUGGGGUAAUGGCCUACCAAGGCGACGAUCCGUAGCUGGUCUGAGAGGAUGAUCAGCCACACUGGGACUGAGACACGGCCCAGACUCCUACGGGAGGCAGCAGUGGGGAAUAUUGGACAAUGGGCGCAAGCCUGAUCCAGCCAUGCCGCGUGAGUGAUGAAGGCCUUAGGGUUGUAAAGCUCUUUCAGCUGGGAAGAUAAUGACGGUACCAGCAGAAGAAGCACCGGCUAACUACGUGCCAGCCGCCGCGGUAAGAC
rnacentral:rRNA from 1 species